rnacentral:pre_miRNA from 1 species
UCUUACAAAUGAGCAAAGAAAGCAGUUUCUUGAAAUGGAAUCUACUCCUGGUAAAGAUGCUGUGAA